CCUACGGGUGGCAGCAGUGAGGAAUAUUGGUCAAUGGCCGGAAGGCUGAACCAGCCAAGUCGCGUGAGGGAAUCAGGCCCUAUGGGUCGUAAACCUCUUUUGUCAGGGAGCAAAGGCGUCCACGAGUGGACGAAAGGAGAGUACCUGAAGAAAAAGCAUCGGCUAACUCCGGGCCAGCAGCCGCGGUAAUACGGAGGAUGCGAGCGUUAUCCGGAUUUAGUGGGUUUAAAGGGGGCGUAGGCGGAGUGUCAAGUCAGCGGUAAAAUUUCGGGGCGCAACCCCGUCGUGCCGUUGAAACUGACACCCUUGAGUGAGUGAGAAGUAAGCGGAAUGCGUGGGGUAGCGGUGAAAUGCAUAGAUAUCACGCAGAACGCCGAUUGCGAAGGCAGCUGACCGGCGCUCAACUGACGCUGAGGCACGAAAGUGCGGGUAUCGAACAGGAUUAGAUACCCGAGUAGUC
rnacentral:rRNA from 1 species